rnacentral:rRNA from 1 species
UACGUAGGGACCAAGCGUUGUUCGGAUUUACUGGGCGUAAAGGGCGCGUAGGCGGCAAUUCAAGUCAUCUGUGAAAUCUCCGGGCUUAACCCGGAACGGUCAGAUGAUACUGCUUUGCUAGAGUACUAAAGAGGGUCGCGGAAUUCCCGGUGUAGAGGUGAAAUUCGUAGAUAUCGGGAGGAACACCGGUGGCGAAGGCGGCGACCUGGGUAGAUACUGACGCUGAGGCGCGAAAGCGUGGGGAGCAAACAGG